UUGGAGGGCAAGUCUGGUGCCAGCAGCCGCGGUAAUUCCAGCUCCAAUAGCGUAUAUUAAAGUUGUUGCAGUUAAAAAGCUCGUAGUUGAAUUUCGGGAUUAGUACGUCGGUCGUGCCUUAGGUACGUACUGGUGUUACUGGUUCCUACCUUCUGACGAACCAUCAUGUCAUUAAUUUGGUGUGGUGGGGAAUCAGGACUGUUACUUGAAAAAUUGAGUGUUUAAAGCAGGCUCGCGCUUGAAUACAUUAGCAUGGAAUAAUGAAAUAGGUACG
rnacentral:rRNA from 1 species